rnacentral:rRNA from 1 species
UCGGGAAUAUUGCACAAUGGAGGAAACUCUGAUGCAGUGACGCCGCGUGCAGGAAGAAGGUUUUCGGAUUGUAAACUGCUUUAGACAGGGAAGAGAAAGGACAGUACCUGUAGAAUAAGCUCCGGCUAACUACGUGCCAGCAGCCGCGGUAAUACGUAGGGAGCGAGCGUUAUCCGGAUUUAUUGGGUGUAAAGGGUGCGUAGACGGGUAAAUAAGUUAGUUGUGAAAUCCCUCGGCUCAACUGAGGAACUGCAACUAAAACUGUAUAUCUUGAGUGCGGGAGAGGAAAGUGGAAUUCCUAGUGUAGCGGUGAAAUGCGUAGAUAUUAGGAGGAACACCAGUGGCGAAGGCGACUUUCUGGACCGUAACUGACGUUGAGGCACGAAAGUGUGGGGAGCAAACA